GAUGAACGCUGGCGGCGUGCCUAAUACAUGCAAGUCGAGCGAACGGACGAGAAGCUUGCUUCUCUGAUGUUAGCGGCGGACGGGUGAGUAACACGUGGAUAACCUACCUAUAAGACUGGGAUAACUUCGGGAAACCGGAGCUAAUACCGGAUAAUAUUUUGAACCGCAUGGUUCAAAAGUGAAAGACGGUCUUGCUGUCACUUCUAGAUGGAUCCGGGCUGCAUUAGCUGGUUGGUAAGGUAACGGCUUAUCAAGGCAACGAUGCAUAGCCGACCUGAGAGAGUGAUCGGCCACACUGGAACUGAGACACCGUCCAGGGUCCUACGAGAGGCCGCAGUAUCGAAUCGUCCGCAAUGGGCGAAAGCCUGACGGAGCGGCGCCGCGUGAGUGAUGAAGGUCUUCGGAUCGUAAAACUCUGUUAUUAGGGAAAAACAUAUGUGUAAGGAACUGUGCACAUCUUGACGGUACCUAAUCAGAAAGCCACGGCUAACUACGUG
rnacentral:rRNA from 1 species